rnacentral:lncRNA from 8 species
UCCGUCUAGCAAAUACAGGGGGAAAUAAAGGAAAAUAACCAGAUUAAAAGGAAAAAUGUCUGAAUACAAUGUGUUUAAUAGAGUAUGAAAAGGUCGACGGUUUAAUGCUCGAGCGCACCUGUUAUUCUUGCAUCAUCUCCUCACAAUAAUUCCCCGCUCUGAGAGAGGGUGGUGGGGUGGAGUAGAGUGUUGUACUAUACAUGAGAAUGAGCAGAAGAUAUUUCAGGAUUUGGGGAAUUACACGGAAUUACUACAAGGGAGCGUUCGCCCUUCAUGAAUCUCAGGUCCUCCUUGAAAUGCUACCCAUCACACCUCCCUCGCUUCUAUUCCAUUCCCUCUUCAACUAAAGCAUUCGAUUUCCCUCCUGCCUGCAGAUCGUGACCGUAUUGGAUGAGGGAUGCGCCGCUGUGCUCCCAAGAACCGCUACCCGCUGCAGUGCAUGUGUUAACGUUUGACUGAUCUAUGUAUGGGAUUCUUCACUCUCUGUGGAGAGACAAGGAGCUGAUAGCGUCCUGAGAGGGAAAACGUAAAAAAAUUGGAGGAAUUAACUGAUUUAUGGACAGAAAAAAGGUCACUAGUAACUACUCUUUCUUGUCCCGUGGAUGAUUUUUUUCCAAUCCCGCGCUAAAGGCGCGAAAUUAUUCCGGUCACGUCGCGCAACAACCAGCUGUCCUGGAGCCCGCUGAAGUGAAUAGGUGCUCCGUGCACGCGAGAGAUAGCGCAGCGCGCGGACACCUGCAGUAAAUGUAGCGGGAAUUCCCCUCGUAAACCGUCCAGAGAAGGGUUGGUCUACAUGAAGCAUCAUCUUGACACAAUGACAGAGGAGGACACAGAGCAACAGAGGCAGCAUUCAUCUGAUGAAGAGGAUUUAUUUUCAUCACUGGUUGGGUACCUUGCCUGUGUGUUAGACAAGAUGGACUUGCUUCAUUCCUUUCCAUACAUAAAGAAGCCGUUCCUCAAACUGAACACGGCCUGCCUACCUCUGCCGCCUAACUUCAGAGAGGUGCAGACCUGUCAAUCACCCUCAUCAGCGUCCAGUCAAAGCCAGGAGAAAAGGAUUGGGCGGGGCAUGGACUGGCUUGGCCGUU